GUGCUAAUUGUAGGGCUAAUACGUGCAUUCAGACCUGACUUCUAGGAGGGGUCGUAUUUAUUAGAUACAGAACCAAUUCCCUCCGGGGAUUUCGGAUGAUUCAUGAUAAACGAACGGAGCGUGUGGCAAGAGCCGACGCUGUACCAUUCAAGUUUCUGACCUAUCAGCUUCCGACGGUAGGGUAUUGGNCUACCGUGGCAUUGACGGGUAACGGAGAAUUAGGGCUCGAUUCCGGAGAGGGAGCCCGAGAAACGGCUACCACAUCUAAGGAAGGCAGCAGGCGCGCAAAUUACCCAAUCCUGACGCAGGGAGGUAGUGACAAGAAAUAACAAAGCAGACUCUUUCUGAGCUUUGCUAUUGGAAUGAGUAGAAUUUAAAUCUCUUUACGACUAUCAAUUGGAGGGCAAGUCUGGGUGCCAUCAGCCGCGGUAAUUCCGGCUCCAAUAGCGUAUAUUAAAGUUGUUGCGGUUAAAAAGCUCGUAGUUUGGAUUUCUGUUGAGAACAGCCGGUCCGCAUUUUGUGCCGUGCAUCCUGGGUUUGAACUCCGGAUCCUUUCCAGGGAACGUAUCCUGCGAUAAUUUCGUGGUACCGGGUACUGGGAAACUUUUACCUUUGAGGGAAAAUUUAAAGUGUUCAACGGGAAGGAAAUCCGCCUUGAAUAUAUUUAGCAAUGGGGAUAAUAACAUUAGGAUCCUUGGGUCCAAUUUGGUUGGGUUUCCAAAAGCUUAGGUAAGAUUAAUAGGGACAAGUUGGGGGCAAUCCUUNUUAACACCUCAAAAGGUGGAUUCU
rnacentral:rRNA from 1 species